rnacentral:rRNA from 1 species
UACGUAGGGUGCAGGCGUUACUCGGAAUUACUGGGCGUCAAGCGUGCGCAGGCGGUUUGCUAAGACAGGUGUGAAAUCCCCGGGCUUAACCUGGGAACUGCGCUUGUAACUGGCAAGCUAGAGUGUGGCAGAGGGGGGUGGAAUUCCACGUGUAGCAGUGAAAUGCGUAGAGAUGUGGAGGAACACCGAUGGCGAAGGCAGCCCCCUGGGCUAACACUGACGCUCAGGUGCGAAAGCGUGGGGAGCAAACAGG